UACGAAGGGGGCUAGCGUUGCUCGGAAUCACUGGGCGUAAAGCGCACGUAGGCGGAUCUUUAAGUCAGGGGUGAAAUCCCAGAGCUCAACUCUGGAACUGCCUUUGAUACUGUCGAUCUAGAGACUGGAAGAGGUUAGUGGAAUUCCCAGUGUAGAGGUGAAAUUCGUAGAUAUUGGGAAGAACACCAGUGGCGAAGGCGGCUAACUGGUCCAGUACUGACGCUGAGGUGCGAAAGCGUGGGGAGCAAACAGG
rnacentral:rRNA from 1 species